ensembl:lncRNA
AGACACUCCUGUGUUUCACCCAGCCCUCCAGGGACUGUAUUCCAGAGUCUGAAUAAACAGGAACAUGCUAAGACAUUGGAUCUGUUACUCUGUACUACCUGCAAGUCCAUAUACUACUGCAUUUGUCAGCCUUGGCAUUUCAGACAAAGAGGAGAGAAUGGAUUCAACACAGACAAAUAAACCUGCUGCUGGAUGGGAAAAGACAGACAUUAUAAUGGAUGGAAUACAACUUAAGCAUUUUCCAAUUCUUUUAACUUGCUACCUUGUGGCAACGUACAUUGUUCAGGCCAUAGAUUAUGUCUCCCUUACAAAUGAGACCAUGCAAACAAACACACAGAGUAGGUUGGAAAAACAAUGUCUCCUGAAGCUGUUAUAGCAUCCAGUAUUUCAGAUAAAGUCCAUCAAACCACAACGCAGGGUGCAACUAUCAGCCACAAUACAAGGCUCAGAAUGGAUAGCGGCAGUAACUCUCCUUUAAUAACCACAUCAUAUGUGGCACAUGUUGCAUCAAACACCAUUCACCAUCCAAGCUCAAACACUAACAAGUCUUCAGAUAUCACAAGAUUCAAAUCUGUUGCGACUCUACCACGUAAUUUUUUAUCAUCUACUAGAACUAUAAAUCAAACAACAUCAGAAAUGCUGGAAGCAGCUGAUCAGCUUUUCACAACCAUACCAACAAUCACCCGUGAAGCUCUAACUCCAAAUUGUACAACCCAGGCUCCAGCAGGAGAAGCUCAUCUAUGGACUUCCAAGACCAUUCUGGCUAUUAGUUUCAACAGCCUCACCUUUACUCUUCUAGUGAUUAUUAUAUACAUUCAUAACAAGUACGGGAAAAGAAUUGCCCAGUAUUCACAUCAUCAACUGAAUGAGAACUCUCCUGAAACAGAUGAUUUAUAUAAUACACCAGAUGACACACUGGUGAUAUCAGGAGGACUAUAA